UGGUCAUCAAGCAGUACAGUAAACAUGUAUCAAGGUCUAAUCAGUUUGACCCAACGGUUUAGGUUGUGUCGUCUAACAACAACUUUUAUCAAAACCAAUAUCCAUGCUAACUAGUCACCAAGGUUUAACGCAUAAUGUCUAACGAUCUAAUCCACAUAUACAUUUAUCAUAUCAGAAUUAUUCACUAACGUCAUUAGCACAGGACAUGUCGGUUCAUCAUCAUCAUUAUGAACAAGAUCAACAUUGAAAGCCAAAUACAAUCAUUUGCAAAAUCAGUAACGACCUAAUCGCAUAUAUAUAUUCAAUCCAUGAACAAGGCUGUUACUACAUAAAUUAAACCAAUAAUCACAAGUGUUUUUGAUCCUCUAGACAAACAAGAAUCACACUAACCGGAAUCUUGAUUACAGAAUGAGAUCUUCGAGCAGGGGGCUGCUAUGCCGUCACACACACACAAUGGAACUAGGGUUUUUAGAAGUUAACUAUCGACCUACAUGCAUUCACAUAUAUAUAACGUAUCACAGGAAUGGGCCAAGCCCAUUGGAAAGACUGUCGAAGGAUCCUAUAUUUGGUCGAAGGAUAGAGUCUUGGGUCGAAAGUUAGGUCUUAUGUUUUGUGAUCCUUCGAAGGUUGGAUCCUUCGGUCGAAGGAUCUUCGGUUGAAAGAUGUCUUGGUCGGAGGAUCAUUAACAAGUUGCAACAUAUUUCCACUAGCACAAUGAUUUUACAAGAUUCCAAGGAUAAGAAAAUACGACAAAGGAGUCGGGGAAUAGGAUAAUACUAACCUCGGGAAUUCGGGUUGUCACA
rnacentral:lncRNA from 1 species